GAUGAACGCUGACAGAAUGCUUAACACAUGCAAGUCGAUGGGGAAGUGGUGCUUGCACCAUGGUAACCAUGGCGGACGGGUGAGUAACGCGUAAGGAACUUGCCUGCGGGACUGGGAUAACAGCAGGAAACUGCUGAUAAUACCGGAUAAGGUCAUUAAGCUGCAUAGCUUAGUGAUGAAAGGAGACGCCUGCGGAGAGCCUUGCGUCCUAUUAGCUAGUUGGAGGGGUAACGGCCCACCAAGGCGAAGAUGGGUAGCCGGCCUGAGAGGGUGGACGGCCACAAGGGGACUGAGAUAUGGCCCUUACUCCUACGGGAGGCAGCAGUGGGGAAUAUUGGACAAUGGGGGCAACCCUGAUCCAGCAAUUCUGUGUGCACGAAGACGGUUUUCGGAUCGUAAAGUGCUUUCAGCAGGGAAGAAGGAAGUGACGGUACCUGCAGAAGAAGCGACGG
rnacentral:rRNA from 1 species